rnacentral:rRNA from 1 species
GAUGAACGCUAGCGGCAGGCUUAAUACAUGCAAGUCGAGGGGCAGCAUGAAGUAGCAAUCCUUUGAUGGCGACCGGCAAACGGGUGCGGAACACGUACACAACCUUCCUUUAAGUGGGGAAUAGCCCAGAGAAAUUUGGAUUAAUACCCCGUAUCACAACGAAGUGGCAUCACUUUGUUGUUAUAGUUUCGGCGCUUAAUGAUGGGUGUGCGUAUGAUUAGAUAGUUGGCGAGGUAACGGCUCACCAAGUCUACGAUCAUUAGCUGAUGUGAGAGCAUGAUCAGCCACACGGGCACUGAGACACGGGCCCGACUCCUACGGGAGGCAGCAGUAAGGAAUAUUGGUCAAUGGACGCAAGUCUGAACCAGCCAUGCCGCGUGAAGGAUUAAGGUCCUCUGGAUUGUAAACUUCUUUUAUAUGGGACGAAAAAAGGUCUUUCUAGACCCCUUGACGGUACCAUAUGAAUAAGCACCGGCUAACUCCGUG